rnacentral:rRNA from 1 species
CCCUUAGACGUUCUGGGCCGCACGCGCGCUACACUGACCAGUGCAACAAGCAUCCGUCCUUGGCCGACAGGCUCGGGCAAUCUUUGAACGCUGGUCGUGAUGGGGAUAGACUUUUGCAAUUUUUGGUCUUCAACGAGGAAUUCCUAGUAAACGCAAGUCAUCAACUUGCAUUGAUUACGUCCCUGCCCUUUGUACACACCGCCCGUCGCACCUACCGAUUGAAUGGUCCGGUGAAGCCUCCGGAUUGGCGCGCACCUCGGUGCCGCCGAGAAGUUGGCUAAACCUUACCAUUUAGAGGAAGGUGAANUCGUAACA